UUGCGUUAUUCCCAUUUCCAAUAGGAUGAAUGAACUUUAAAUAGUAUCCAAUCAGAUGAGAGCUCCUCUGGCAUAUAAAAACCUAGCGAAGCUGAUUCAUUCCGGACACCAUUAUUAGUUUUGGUGUGUCUUUCCCAAAGAAAAACGUCCUACGGUGAACGCAGUCAUGCCUUUCGGUAACACCCACAACAAGCUGAAGAUGAGCUACUCCGCGGAGCAGGAGUACCCCGACCUCAGCCAACAUAACAACCACAUGGCCAAGGUGCUCACCCCAGAGAUGUACGCCAACCUGCGGGAC